UCGAGAAUCUUCCGCAAUGGGCGAAAGCCUGACGGAGCGACACCGCGUGCAGGACGAAGGCCUUCGGGUUGUAAACUGCUGUCACGCUCUAGGAAUCCCGUGUUGUGAAUAGCAGCACGGUUGACUAAGGCGAGAGGAAGUGGCGGCUAACUCUGUGCCAGCAGCCGCGGUAAGACAGAGGCCACGAACGUUGUUCGGAAUCACUGGGCAUAAAGCGCACGUAGGCGGCUAGGUCCGUCCGAUGUGAAAGCCCCCGGCUCAACCGGGGAAUAGCAUCGGAUACAGCCUGGCUUGAGGACGGUUGGGGUGAGUGGAACUCCUGGUGGAGCGGUGAAAUGCGUAGAUAUCAGGAGGAACACCGGUGGCGAAAGCGGCUCACUGGACCGUUACUGACGCUGAGGUGCGAAAGCUAGGGGAGCAAACGGGAUUAGAUACCCAAGUAGUCCCUGAGCGGGCUGGCAAGGCGCAU
rnacentral:rRNA from 1 species